rnacentral:rRNA from 1 species
CCUACGGGGGGCAGCAGUGGGGAAUAUUGCACAAUGGGGGAAACCCUGAUGCAGCGACGCCGCGUGAGUGAAGAAGUAUUUCGGUAUGUAAAGCUCUAUCAGCAGGGAAGAAAUCCACCCUCCGGGGUGGCUGACGGUACCUGACUAAGAAGCCCCGGCUAACUACGUGCCAGCAGCCGCGGUAAUACGUAGGGGGCAAGCGUUAUCCGGAUUUAUUGGGGGUAAAGGGGGCGUAGGUGGCAGGGCAAGUCAGAUGUGAAAACCCGGGGCCCAACCCCGGGAGUGCAUUUGAAACUGUCUGGCUAGAGUGCAGGAGAGGUAAGUGGAAUUCCUAGUGUAGCGGUGAAAUGCAUAGAUAUUAGGAGGAACACCAGUGGCGAAGGCGGCUUACUGGACUGUAACUGACACUGAGGCUCGAAAGCGUGGGGAGCAAACAGGAUUAGAUACCCGUGUAGUC